GACGAACGCUGGCGGCGUGCUUAACACAUGCAAGUCGAACGGAAAGGCCCUGCUUUUGUGGGGUGCUCGAGUGGCGAACGGGUGAGUAACACGUGUGUAACCUGUCCUUGACUUUGGGAUAUCUUCAGGAAACUGGGGCUAAUACCGGAUAGGAGCUCCUGCUGCAUGGUGGGGGCUGGAAAGUUUCGGCGGUUGGGGAUGGACUCGCGGGUUAUUAGCUUGUUGGUGAGGUAGUGGCUUACCAAGUUUUUGAAGGGUACGCGGCCUGGGAGGGUGACCGGCCACAUUGGGACUGAGAGACGCCCCAGACUCCUACGGUAGGCAGUAGGCGGGAAUAUGGCACAAUGGGCGGAAGCCUGUUGCAGCAACGCCGCGUGCGGGAUGACGGCCUUCGGGUGAUAAACCGCUUUCGCCUGUGACGAAGCGUGAGUGACGGUAAUGGGUAAAGAAGCACCGGCUAACUACGUG
rnacentral:rRNA from 1 species